rnacentral:lncRNA from 1 species
GCGUGUCUCUGAUAAUGCAAUAACAUCUGCUUCUAAUAUAUUUUAUUCUUUACGAAGCUCAUCAAUAUGUAAGUGUAAAGAUCUGGUAUUAUGGAAGACAAUAGUAAGUUUGGAUAUAUUAUUGUUUAUAAUAUUCUGACAAAGACUUAAUUGAGCAUCUUCUCUCAUUCUCUCCAUUUAGAGUAUGACUUAUGGACUAACAGCUAAUUUUUCUUCAUUAAGUGCAAGAAUAUUUAACCCAGACAUUUUUUUGCUUUGCUUAUACCGACUCAAUGCAUGUGCUGAUUCCGUCUGCUUCCAAAGUGGACUGCAACAGUUUCAAGAGUUGAACCCUGUGAUUUGUGAAUGGUUUUAGCUGCUGACAGUCUUAUCGGAAACUGUCUCCUUAGAAAUUUGUUUGUCUGAUUGUUGGCUACACAAAAUGUCCUUGAAAUCUCAAAUAUAGG